rnacentral:tRNA from 1 species
GGCCUGAUGGUCUAGUGGUAGUAAGUUACAUUCUUCAUGUGCGAGGUCCCGGGUUCAAACCCCGGUCAGGCCC